AAUAGAUACCCCGGUAGUCCACGCCGUAAACGAUGAGUGCUAAGUGUUGGGGGGUUUCCGCCCCUCAGUGCUGCAGCUAACGCAUUAAGCACUCCGCCUGGGGAGUACGGCCGCAAGGCUGAAACUCAAAGGAAUUGACGGGGGCCCGCACAAGCGGUGGAGCAUGUGGUUUAAUUCGAAGCAACGCGAAGAACCUUACCAGGUCUUGACAUCCCGCUGCCCGGUAUAGAGAUAUAUCUUUCCCUUCGGGGACAGCGGUGACAGGUGGUGCAUGGUUGUCGUCAGCUCGUGUCGUGAGAUGUUGGGUUAAGUCCCGCAACGAGCGCAACCCUUGAUCUUAGUUGCCAGCAUUUAGUUGGGCACUCUAAGGUGACUGCCGGUGACAAACCGGAGGAAGGUGGGGAUGACGUCAAAUCAUCAUGCCCCUUAUGACCUGGGCUACACACGUGCUACAAUGGAUGGUACAAAGGGCUGCAAGACCGCGAGGUUUAGCCAAUCCCAUAAAACCAUUCUCAGUUCGGAUUGCAGGCUG
rnacentral:rRNA from 1 species